rnacentral:rRNA from 1 species
UCGAGCGAAGCGAUUUAAAUGAGACUUCGGUGGAUUUUAAAUUGACUGAGCGGCGGACGGGUGAGUAACGCGUGGAUAACCUGCCUCACACAGGGGGAUAACAGUUAGAAAUGACUGCUAAUACCGCAUAAGCGCACGGUACCGCAUGGUACAGUGUGAAAAACUCCGGUGGUGUGAGAUGGAUCCGCGUCUGAUUAGGUAGUUGGUGAGGUAACGGCCCACCAAGCCGACGAUCAGUAGCCGACCUGAGAGGGUGACCGGCCACAUUGGGACUGAGACACGGCCCAAACUCCUACGGGAGGCAGCAGUGGGGAAUAUUGCACAAUGGGCGAAAGCCUGAUGCAGCAACGCCGCGUGAGUGAAGAAGUAUCUCGGUAUGUAAAGCUCUAUCAGCAGGGAAGAAAAUGACGGUACCUGACUAAGAAGCCCCGGCUAACUACGUGCCAGCAGCCGCGGUAAUACGUAGGGGGCAAGCGUUAUCCGGAUUUACUGGGUGUAAAGGGAGCGCAGACGGCACUGCAAGUCUGAAGUGAAAGCCCGGGGCUCAACCCCGGGACUGCUUUGGAAACUGUAGAGCUAGAGUGCUGGAGAGGCAAGCGGAAUUCCUAGUGUAGCGGUGAAAUGCGUAGAUAUUAGGAAGAACACCAGUGGCGAAGGCGGCUUGCUGGACAGUAACUGACGUUCAGGCUCGAAAGCGUGGGGAGCAAACAGGAUUAGAUACCCUGGUAGUCCACGCCGUANACGAUGAAUACUAGGUGUUGNUGGGCAA